rnacentral:rRNA from 1 species
GACGAACGCUGGCGGCGUGCCUAAUACAUGCAAGUCGAACGCAGUGGGGACGGGUGAGUAACACGUGGGUAACCUCCCAUCAGAGGGGAUAACACUUGGAAACAGGUGCUAAACCGGUACUGAUGGUUGGACCCGCGGGUCAUUAGCUAGUUGGGGAGGUAACUGCUCACCAAGGCCCCGAUGCAUAGCGUACCUGAGAGUGUGAUCGGCCUCACUGGGAGUGAGACACGGACCAGACGCCUACGGGAGGCAGCAGUAGUGAAUCUUCGGCAAUGGACGAAAGUCUGACCGAGCAACGCCGCGUGAGUGAAGAAGGUGUUCGGAUCUUAAAACUCUGUUGUUAGAGAAGCGGUAUCUAACCAGAAAGCCACGGCUAACUACGUGCCAGCAGCCGCGGUAAUUC